UUAAUUUUUUUUAACUGACAUUGAGGCAUAGGUUAGCUUCCAUCAGCUGCAAGGAAGAAUUUCCUUCUGCCACAGGAGUCAGUGCUCCUGCUGCCCCAUGUUCUCGCCCUCCUUCCCUCUGGAACCUCAGUGCCAAGGAACAGCCCAACGGCCCAACGGCCACAAACUGCCCAACUGCCCAACGGCUGCCGGGCUGUGCCUGUCACCCCACGGCUUCUACAGCACCGGCUGUGCUUGCUCCACAUUUGUUUUGGUGUUAGCAAAGGUUCUGUCUUCAGGAGAAAGCUCCCAGUAUGGACUGUAGGAAGAAUAAAACUGACAGUGAGAAGGAAGAGGAGUUUUUAGUCCAAAAUACUCCUUCAACUCCUGAGUCACCUUCCACUGUAGCUGAAGCAGAGUACAGUAACCAUCAAUCCGCUGUCACUGUCUCUGGGAGUUUAACACCAAAUCAAGAAGAGAUACAAAGCAUCACAAGUGAAACAGAUGGCACAGCAGAGAUACAGAAUACUGCAGGGCAAAUGCAAGUUCUCAAAUCUGAGCGAAAUAUUUCUUCGAAAGAUUUUGAUGCCAGUGUCACCUCCAGUAGUGGUAAUCAAUCAGAGCCAGAGCAUGCUGGAAAUGGUAAAGGAAAGGUGUUUAGAGGCCAAAAAAAUCUUCAAGAUGCUCACGGAAGAGACAGCUCCUCCAAAAAGCAGAAAACAAGCCUCAAAACAUCUGUGAACAUCAAAAAGAAGAAUAAAAUUAGAAAAUGUGGGCAAAGUGAAGAGAGGGAAUCUGAUCUAAAAGAACGCGACAAUCGUUUGCCCAAAGGUUGCAAAUGGAGUUUUCAGGAGUCUGACUUGCAAAAUUUGAGUAGCACCGAGCGCAUAACAAUUCUCCAAGCAAAAUUGCAGGAAAUUCGGAAACGUUACCUGUUGUUGAAAGCUGAGUUGGCUGCCAUUGACCGGACAAAGCGCUUAAAGAAAAAAAAAGAGCAGGAAAGUCCACAGGACCCUGCUUCAGGACAUCCCCGUUUUGGGACAGAAGCCUUCUUCAGGACAUGACUCCCAUGAAUUCAUAGCCUCUUCUCAGCAUUCACCCCAGAGUUGCUCUCCUCCACAGACUGCAGAGGCAUUACCAUCAUUUCUGAUUGGCCCAGCCUUGGCAGUGACUCUGCCAGACAGUGAGGAAGGUUCCAGCAGGCUCUCACAGAAGACAUUCCUGUAGCCCCCAGCACCAAUACCUGGCCAACAGAAACUCAAUAUGUUUCUAUACAUGCACUGUGUGCCCAUCAUGAUUCUCUUUUUCAGAGCAUGGAGAGGGAUCAGGAUUGCUCUGUUGCACUGUGUGGUAUCAUGACAUGAUAAUACCAGGGCUCAUUUUGGAUGUGUAUUCAGUUUUGACCUCCAACCUUAACUAAGGUGCUACCCUUGGGAGUCCAAUUAAAAGUAUCCAGUCUAUGGGGAGAAAAGAGGAGGAUGAUUUUCCCCAGCCUUUCACCCCCUUCCCCCCGCUCAGACCUAUUAUAACAGCUUUUAAGAAUUUUGAAUUCCUUUUAGAUGUUAAGGAAAGCAUGUUCCUGUUGCUAGGUCUGCCAGUGCAGUGCACACCAUAUUUAGAGCCAACAGAGAUUUCUAGAGUUAUUCUGAAAUAACUGCCCUGAAGCAGGGUAGUAAUGAGUGGUAUGGAACGUAGGAUAUGAGCCAGGAGGACUGCUCCAAUGGUUUUGCAGUUCACCCAUCAACAACUACAGGAACCUGUUAAAAUGAUGAAAUGUGUCAAAGAAAAAUGCUGUAGUAGCUCCAGAGAGGCAUGAACUUAUGCAACAUGUUCUGUCCUGGCUACUGUUUACUGGACGCUGCUCAAUAGUAGACAUCACCUCCAGGGGAGGAGAAAGAAAGCAGACCAACAGGCACCAUGGCCACUCAAAUUGCUGCUGAGCCAGAGGAACAACCCCUGACAGUAGCAGUCACCCCCAUAGAGAAAAAGAAAUCCAGCAUGUAGUCAGUUCAUUUCAUGAGGGAUGAAGUGGAAGCAGAGCCCUCAAAACAGAAGAGGCAGGGCCUGAGUACACCUGGAACCAGAUGCCACAGGGGUGGAAACAGCCACAUUAUUUGCCACUGGCUGAUCCAGACUAGAAAAUGGAGAGGCUGCAGAACGCUUGCAGUACAUCAAUGAUAUUGUAUGGGGCAAUGCAGCAAAGGAAGUUUUCGAGGAAGAGGAGAAAAUAACCCAGAUCCACCUGAAGGCCAGUUUUGCCAUAAAGCAAAACAAACUCAAAGGACCUGCCCAGGAAAUUCAGCUUUUAGAAGCAAAAUGCCAAGUGGGAUGUCAUCAGAUUCCAAUGGAUGUGGUCAACAAACAAGCAGCUAUGUCCCCACCAACCAGCAAGAAGCAAGCACAGAUUUUCCUAGACACUGUGGGUUUCUGGAGGAUACAUGUUACAGAUUAUGGUCAGAUUGUAUACCCUCUCUUUAUCAUGUGAUGUGGAAGAAGAAUAUUUUCAUGUGGGGUCCUGAACAACAAUAAGAUUUUUAAUUAACUGAACAGGAGAUCUUCAUGCAGUAACCUUUGGGCUGGUCAGGAUAGGAGCACGUGUGAAAAAUUUGCUUUAUAGCACAGAUGUGCACAAUGGUCCUUCCUGGAGUCUGGCAAAAAAUACCCAGGAAGACUUCAGGAUGACCAGUGGGGUUCCAGACUCAGAGAUACAAGAGAUCAAAUGCCUGUUACACCCCACCUGAAAAAGAGAUUCUGACAGCUUAUGGAGGAUUUUGAGCUGCUUUGGAAGUGAUGGGCACCAAAGCACAGCUCCUGCUGGCACUGCUGGUGCUGGGUUAGAUGUUCAAAGGGAAAGUCCUUCCCACACAUCAGGCCACUGAUGCUACCUGGAGUAAGUGAGUCGUGCUGAUCACAUAGUGAGCUCAAAUAGGAAAUACCAAUCACCCAGGGAUCUUAGAAAUCAAGGAAGUCAAACAUUUUGGACAAUCAUCAGAGGAGGAUGACGAAAAGGUGACAUGCUGAGGAGGUCCCACCAUAUAGUCAGCUACCAGAAAGAGGAAAGUCACGUGCCCUCAUCAUUGACUGCUCCUGCCAUAUCAUGGGGAUAAAUAAAAUAUGGGAAGCUGCUAUAUGGAGUACUACAUGGUGAGCUGCAUAAGCUAUUCAGGGCAAGGUGGAUUAAAUCAAUAUGCGGAGCUGAAAGCCAUCCAGAUGGCUUUAGAUAUUACUAAACAAGAGAAAUGGCCAGCACCCUAUCUGUACACUCUGUAUGCUCCGUAAGGGGUGGCUGGAUCAAUGGAAAAAGAUCAACUAGCAGCACAGAGGUAAACCCAUCUGAGCUGCUGUAGUCUGACAAGACACCACUGCCUGGAUAGAAAAGCUGGCUGUAAAAGCACAUCAUGUGGAUCCACCCAUACCCAGGACUUGGGUGACUGAAGAACAUCACAACAAUGGACAGGUGGAUUGGACUGCCAAGAUUAAAACUUGGAUCUGGUCUGGCAAAAAAGGAGUGAAUUAUUUCUGGCUCAUUGGCCCUAUGAUGCUUCAAGUCACCAGGGAAGAGAUGCAACAAUAUAGAUGGGCUUGUGACUUGACCAUGGAGUGGACUUAAGCAUGGGCACUAUUUCCCAGAUUAUUCUUAACUUUGAAACAUGCACUGCAAUAAAGCAGGGCAAGUAAAGCCUCUGUAGCACGGGGAACAGUGGUCAAAAUAUGGGGAGGCUUGGCUAGUUAGACUGCAGUCCCACAAACCUGCCAAGGCAAGUGCUAUGUGCUGACAGUGGUGGAACCAACCAAUGGAUGGCUGGAGAUGUGCCCUAUGCCCCAACACCAUCUUGGACCUUGAAAAGAAAGCCCUGUGGUAACAUGGAACCCCAGAAAGAGCUGAGUCAGACAAUAGCAUUAGUUUCAAAAAUAGUUUCCUGGGCCAGAGAGCACAGUAUUGAGUAGGUAUCCUAUUCCUUACCAUGCAUUAGCCUCUGGCAAAUUUGAACAGUACACUGGACUGUCAAAAACUGCACAGAGUU